CCCUUAGAUGUUCUGGGCUGCACACGUGCUACACUGGCAGGUUCAGCGAGCUUCAGGCCCUGAUCUGAAAGGAAUGGGAAAUCUUUUCAAAACCUGCCGUGCUUGGGAUAGAUGUUUGCAAUUAUUCAUCUUCAACGAGGAUUGCCUUGUAAGCGCACGUCAUCAGCGUGCAUUGAAUACGACCCUGUAUUCUGUACACACCGCCCGUCGCUCCUACCGAUUGAAGUUUUCGGUGAGUUGACAGGAGGAUUUUUUUGAAACUGGUUCGCCAGUGGAUUUUAGAUCCAAAUGCCAACGAAUCGAUGGCUUUAGAGGAAGGAGAAGUCGUAACA
rnacentral:rRNA from 1 species